rnacentral:tRNA from 1 species
GCCCCCGUAGUUCAAUGGAUAGAACAGUCCCGUCCUAAGGGAGAGAUCUGCGUUCGAUUCGUGGUGGGGGCA